rnacentral:rRNA from 1 species
CCUACGGGGGGCUGCAGUGGGGAAUAUUGGACAAUGGGGGGAACCCUGAUCCAGCCAUGCCGCGUGUGUGAAGAAGGCCCUCGGGUUGUAAAGCACUUUCAGUGAGGAAGAACGCCUGGUGGUUAAUACCCAUCAGGAAAGACAUCACUCACAGAAGAAGCACCGGCUAACUCCGUGCCAGCAGCCGCGGUAAUACGGAGGGUGCGAGCGUUAAUCGGAAUUACUGGGCGUAAAGCGCGCGUAGGUGGCUUGAUAAGCCGGUUGUGAAAGCCCCGGGCUCAACCUGGGAACGGCAUCCGGAACUGUCAAGCUAGAGUGCAGGAGAGGAAGGUAGAAUUCCCGGUGGAGCGGUGAAAUGCGUAGAGAACGGGAGGAAUACCAGUGGCGAAGGCGGCCUUCUGGACUGACACUGACACUGGGGUGCGAAAGCGUGGGUAGCAAACAGGAUUAGAUACCCCGGUAGUC